AACAGUUUUGAAAUCUUGUAUUUGCAUUUCAUGCCAGUUUGUGUGUCUGAUCUCAAAGAUCCUUGGUAAUUUUGGAUCAGUACCGCAAUAAAACUAAAUUUACUUGUAUAAAAUUCGAAUUUUCACCUAUUCCUGUUUUUGGUGUGAAUAUUUGUAGCCGCUUCUCCCGAAUACAUUGUACUAUAUCCAGUUGAAAAAACGAAUGAAUCUCAAUCGACUGUGGUCGGUUUAAGGUUUAAUAUGGAAUCGACUCACUUCGAUUCAAAACUAAAAUGCACUUCUAUUAUAUUCCAAGUUAUCGACGUCAGAAGUGAUGUAAAAGUUGUGGAGAAUAAUCGAAAAAAUGAACUCCAAAUGGAAGAAAACAGAGGAGCUGACAGUGUUAGAGCCGAAGAUGUUCGUGGUUUGGCCAAUCAUAUCAUGCCCAGAAUAGAAGUGUUAUUAUUAUUACUGCUGCUACCUUUUCUAUGAUGGAAUCGAUUGUCAAACUAGUCAGGUGAUAAACUAUCAAACUGCACUUGUCAGUCAGUCCACUCCCAAGUUCAGUUGACAAAAGCUUGUCUACUUAAACAACUGAAUGCAGUGUUUUAUCGUAAUUUGAUUCGAAAGGUACUUUGUUUCAGGUGCUUAAUUUGUCCGUGUUUUAUCAACAGGCACUCGCUGAAGUUUUGUUAUUUUUAUUUUUUUGUUAAAUUUACAGUCAAAUAUUUUUCAAUCUGUUUAAAUUUAAACUCUCUUCAUCAUUAUAACAGUAACUACAUCUAAAACUGUGACUUGAAAUUUUAAAUAUCAUAGAAUGGAAGAAAGAAAAAAGUUCUGACAUAUAAUAGAAAUAUAUAUAAUCGAGUGAGCAGCUAGUCUACGUAAAUUUGACUAAAAAAAAAGAAAAUUUUUUUAAUUUAUGAAAC
rnacentral:misc_RNA from 1 species